ACGAGCCGAGCCGUGGAUCGGGUCCGUCACGAGAACCUGACCCAAAGAUCAAAAACGUAAUCGCCAUCUGCUGCGUAGACGCGCGCCGUCUGCUGCAGGCCCAGCCAGCGGCCAACCGUGUCCUGACGGAACCCAGCACUCAAACAGACACAAUUCCUUUUUCCUAAUUUACAGAAUACUGUAUCUUUUUGCCUUGCCUUAUCCUGUUCCACACUCCAUAGCCACUCCUUGUACAGCUCCGUGAAAGAGGAUUCCGACGAGGUGAGGUCCGCCGCUCGGCGCCGUAGCUGGCGGCCAGACGGGAGCUGUCGCGGCUAGCGCCGCCCGCCUCCGGCCUGCUGCGCCGCGUGGGGCAGUGGCCUUGACUGGAGGCAAGAUGGGGUCCGUGCAAGCUAAGCUAACUUCGCUCGCUUCAGCGGCGCUGCACCGCACGGGGCUGUAUCCUUGGCCGGUGGGAAGACGGGGGCCGUCGCGGCUAGCUCCGCCCGCCUCCGGCGAGUCCAAGGCUGUGGCCGACCCGCUCCCUCGUAGAAGGUGGAACCACAGCGCGUGCACCCAGUCGGCGGGCGCGACCGUGGCAGGUAGCGAGAUGCCGCCGGAGGUCGUUGGGUCACACUUGAAGAAGGCGUGAGCUCGAUGCAUCUCAACAGGCAAAGGUUAUGAAUUGGGCGUGCCCCUCCGGAUAGAGCACCCUGUGCUGGUAGAGUCACUCCUUUAGAGGAAACAAUAAGGAGAUGCGCUGAUAAACCGCCAGACAAUGUAAGAAAGCCAGAGAUUUGUAUGAGUUUUGAUUCCCUUGGAGAAGCGUACGAUUUCUAUAACUUGUAUUCUUGGGAGGUUGAAUUUGGUAUAAAAUAUGGCAAGAGCCGUUUGAACGUCGAGCGGACAAAGUGUUUGCAAGAGAUCGUCUGUGGAUGCUCGGGAAAACCAGAGCAACAGAAUAGCCGGUCUUGCCGCUGCGAGUGCCCUGCAAUGACACAGGAGGCAAGAGAAAGGAGUCCCCGACUCAGUCCGUGGAAUCAUCCGAGAAAGUGAACCCAGAGGCACCAGGAUGGACUAAGAGGUUGAGAGUUGGCCGUGCACCCCCUGAUAGACACCGUGCGUUGGCAGAGUUACUCCAUUCGAAGAAACAAUCAGGAGGUACGUUGAUAAGCCAUCAGACAAUGUGGUCAAGCCAGAAACUGGAAUGAGUUUUGACUCUCAGGGAACGUAUGAUUUCUACAAUCUUUAUUCAUGGGAGCUCGGAUUUGGUAUAAGAUAUGGCAAGAGCGAUCUGAAUGUCGAGCUGACGAAAGGUAUGCAGGAAAUUGUGUGUGGAUGCUCAGGGAGGCCUGCGCAGCAAAACAGCCGGUCUUGCCGGUGCGAAUGCCCUGCAAUGUUUUCGAGGAUGGGGCUUACUAGGUCGAGGAAAUUGAAAGGAAGAAGAAGUACAUUGCAAGACACAAAAAUGCCGACAACCGUGGGAAGUGGAGCAAGGUUGUUUAUGAGGUGACCAUGUUGGACGAUGGCGAGUGGUUCGAGUGUGAAUGCGGGCAUUUCGCUCACAUGGGAAUGCUGUGCUGCCAUGCUUUCAAGGUGAUAGAUAUGUUGGCGUGACGCAGAUACCGAAGCGACACAUCCUCAAGAGAUGGACGAAAAAUGCUAGGGACAUCCUGGCCCAGCACCUUGCUCACUUCCAAAGAGACCAAGCCAUGAACCGAUCUUUCAUCUGUCGGAGCUCGAUCCUUUAACUAGAUGCCAUGCAUGGAGCUGGUUAGGUUUGGGGAUUAAUCCGUCGUAACGUAUGCGCUCGUGCUGGGUCAGAUAAAGGAUAUAAUUGUGGAGGCAUCACCGCUAGCUGAAAAGCCCGAAACAAGAGAUGUGCUUGGCUAUGAGGAGAGACAAGCUGUUGAGGCGAAUCGCAACCACAUUGCAUUGGCGGGCACAAACGUCAACAUUUGAGGGAGAGAUGGUUGACAACGAGAACAGUGUGACCCUUUCUGGUAACUGGGUGCACUUGCUGACUGUCGGCUCCGAGCAACAAACCUGGUUCCCAUGCUCAAGUAGGGAGAAGGCAUCAUAUGAAGGACUGAGUAAAAGGACAAGGUUCUGCAGCAUCUGCAAAUUGCUAGGUCAUAAGAAGACUACCUGCCCUGAGGGAGGUGACAUGCUAAACGGCCUCGCAAACCUGCAAGCUGCAAGAAUUGUGGCAUCGCUGGACACGGUCGCACUACGUGCGCCAUGCUGCUGGGUGUUGCUGCAUCUUAAGAGUUCUGACAGUCAUGUACGAUAACUCUGAAUUUCAAAUUUGAAGGAUUUUCUAGUGUGUGAUUUCUGCAUGGACAUGACGCUUGUUCCUCCCUGAGUAUAAGCUAUGUAUGUCAAACGAUGCUGAACUAUGUGGAGUGGUAAAAUUUUGUUUCGGCACCAUUGAUGUCGCUUGAGACAAAUAUGAUUUAAAAAAAAAUUGCACUAA